GAGCCUCUAGUCGAGUUGGUUAGGAGGUCUGAGUAGCACUUAUCAGGUCCUGGGUUCAACUCCCCGUGGGAGCG
rnacentral:tRNA from 7 species